rnacentral:rRNA from 1 species
AUUGAACGCUGGCGGCAGGCCUAACACAUGCAAGUCGAGCGAGCGGCGGACGGGUGAGUAAUGUAUGGGGACUGCCCGAUAGAGGGGGAUAACUACUGGAAACGGUGGCUAAUACCGCAUACUAUUGGAUAACCCAUAUGGGAUUAGCUAGUUGGUGGGGUAAAGGCUCACCAAGGCGACGAUCCCUAGCUGGUCUGUGAGGAUGACAAGCCACACUGGGACUGAGACACGGCCCAGACUCCUACGGAGGAAGCAGUGGGGAAUUUUGCACAAGGGGGGCAAGCCUGAUGCAGCCAUGCCGCGUGUAUGAAGAAGGCCUUAGGGUUGUAAAGUACUUUCGGCGGAGAAGCGUUAGUCGCAGAAGAAGCACCGGCUAACUCCGUGCCAGCAGCCGCGGUAAUAC